GCAGUGGUGGUUUGGUGGUAGAAUUCUCACCUUCCAUGCAGGAGACCCAGGUUUGACUUCUGGCCAAUGUA
rnacentral:tRNA from 1 species